GACGAACGCUGGCGGCGUGCUUAACACAUGCAAGUCGAACGGAAAGGCCCUGCUUUUGUGGGGUGCUCGAGUGGCGAACGGGUGAGUAACACGUGAGUAACCUGCCCUUGACUUUGGGAUAACUUCAGGAAACUGGGGCUAAUACCGGAUAGGAGCUCCUGCUGCAUGGUGGGGGUUGGAAAGUUUCGGCGGUUGGGGAUGGACUCGCGGCUUAUCAGCUUGUUGGUGGGGUAGUGGCUUACCAAGGCUUUGACGGGUAGCCGGCCUGAGAGGGUGGCCGGCCACAUUGGGACUGAGAUACGGCCCAGACUCCUACGGGAGGCAGCAGUGGGGAAUAUUGCACAAUGGGCGGAAGCCUGAUGCAGCAACGCCGCGUGCGGGAUGACGGCCUUCGGGUUGUAAACCGCUUUCGCCUGUGACGAAGCGUGAGUGACGGUAAUGGGUAAAGAAGCACCGGCUAACUAUGUG
rnacentral:rRNA from 1 species